rnacentral:rRNA from 1 species
UACAGAGGUCCCAAGCGUUGUUCGGAUUCACUGGGCGUAAAGGGUGCGUAGGCGGUCGGGUAAGUCUGAUGUGAAAUCUCACAGCUUAACUGGGAAACUGCAUUGGAUACUAUCCGGCUAGAGGAAUGGAGGGGAGACUGGAAUACUUGGUGUAGCAGUGAAAUGCGUAGAUAUCAAGUGGAACACCAGUGGCGAAGGCGAGUCUCUGGACAUUUCCUGACGCUGAGGCACGAAAGCCAGGGGAGCAAACGGG